AACGAGUUAUCUGAACCUUCGGGGAACGAUAACGGCGUCGAGCGGCGGACGGGUGAGUAAUGCCUAGGAAAUUGCCCUGAUGUGGGGGAUAACCAUUGGAAACGAUGGCUAAUACCGCAUGAUGCCUACGGGCCAAAGAGGGGGACCUUCGGGCCUCUCGCGUCAGGAUAUGCCUAGGUGGGAUUAGCUAGUUGGUGAGGUAAGGGCUCACCAAGGCGACGAUCCCUAGCUGGUCUGAGAGGAUGAUCAGCCACACUGGAACUGAGACACGGUCCAGACUCCUACGGGAGGCAGCAGUGGGGAAUAUUGCACAAUGGGCGCAAGCCUGAUGCAGCCAUGCCGCGUGUGUGAAGAAGGCCUUCGGGUUGUAAAGCACUUUCAGUCGUGAGGAAGGUAGUGUAGUUAAUAGCUGCAUUAUUUGACGUUAGCGACAGAAGAAGCACCGGCUAACUCCGUGCCAGCAGCCGCGGUAAUACGGAGGGUGCGAGCGUUAAUCGGAAUUACUGGGCGUAAAGCGCAUGCAGGUGGUUUGUUAAGUCAGAUGUGAAAGCCCGGGGCUCAACCUCGGAAUUGCAUUUGAAACUGGCAGACUAGAGUACUGUAGAGGGGGGUAGAAUUUCAGGUGUAGCGGUGAAAUGCGUAGAGAUCUGAAGGAAUACCGGUGGCGAAGGCGGCCCCCUGGACAGAUACUGACACUCAGAUGCGAAAGCGUGGGGAGCAAACAGGAUUAGAUACCCUGGUAGUCCACGCCGUAAACGAUGUCUACUUGGAGGUUGUGGCCUUGAGCCGUGGCUUUCGGAGCUAACGCGUUAAGUAGACCGCCUGGGGAGUACGGUCGCAAGAUUAAAACUCAAAUGAAUUGACGGGGGCCCGCACAAGCGGUGGAGCAUGUGGUUUAAUUCGAUGCAACGCGAAGAACCUUACCUACUCUUGACAUCCAGAGAACUUUCCAGAGAUGGAUUGGUGCCUUCGGGAACUCUGAGACAGGUGCUGCAUGGCUGUCGUCAGCUCGUGUUGUGAAAUGUUGGGUUAAGUCCCGCAACGAGCGCAACCCUUAUCCUUGUUUGCCAGCGAGUAAUGUCGGGAACUCCAGGGAGACUGCCGGUGAUAAACCGGAGGAAGGUGGGGACGACGUCAAGUCAUCAUGGCCCUUACGAGUAGGGCUACACACGUGCUACAAUGGCGCAUACAGAGGGCAGCCAACUUGCGAAAGUGAGCGAAUCCCAAAAAGUGCGUCGUAGUCCGGAUUGGAGUCUGCAACUCGACUCCAUGAAGUCGGAAUCGCUAGUAAUCGUGGAUCAGAAUGCCACGGUGAAUACGUUCCCGGGCCUUGUACACACCGCCCGUCACACCAUGGGAGUGGGCUGCAAAAGAAGUAGGUAGUUUAACCUUCGGGGGGACGCUUACCACUUUGUGGUUCAUGACUGGGGUGAAGUCGUAACAA
rnacentral:rRNA from 1 species